rnacentral:misc_RNA from 1 species
CCAGAUGCUGCCUAGAUUUGCAGUGACCUGCUUUGCUACUGCUGUUUCUAGAUGAUACCAGCCUUGAGAAAACCAAAAGCCACAUGAAGUUGCAAGGAAUAGCAAGCGGAUAAAGGAAAGUUUACAGAUAUUAUGCAACACUGGCCAAAGAGAUGAUUCAACGAAGUUGUUGAUCAUGAAAUGCCAUAAGCUGUUUUACAUCAUUCCACCAUGCAGCAACAUUUUGUCCAUCAACAGUAACCCAGUCAACUACAGUUGAUGCUGGUUGUUCCCACCAUUCAUCUACCAGGCCCCGAACAUACUUGCAUUCCUCGUCAAGGCAAUGUUUAGCAUUACCAAUAGCUACGUCCAGUUCCUGUAGCCAAUUCUCUGUAGCUGUCUUCUCUUGAUCGGCAGCAAGACUUAAGCAGUAGUUUGUCGUCCUUUCAUACUCAUUUUGUGCCUUGUU